GACGAACGCUGGCGGCGUGCUUAACACAUGCAAGUCGAACGGUAAGGCCCUUUCGGGGGUACACGAGUGGCGAACGGGUGAGUAACACGUGGGUGAUCUGCCCUGCACUUUGGGAUAAGCCUGGGAAACUGGGUCUAAUACCGGAUAGGACUACGCGAUGCAUGUCGUGUGGUGGAAAGCUUUUGCGGUGUGGGAUGGGCCCGCGGCCUAUCAGCUUGUUGGUGGGGUGAUGGCCUACCAAGGCGACGACGGGUAGCCGGCCUGAGAGGGUGUCCGGCCAUACUGGGACUGAGAUACGGCCCAGACUCCUACGGGAGGCAGCAGUGGGGAAUAUUGCACAAUGGGCGCAAGCCUGAUGCAGCGACGCCGCGUGGGGGAUGACGGCCUUCGGGUUGUAAACCCCUUUCAGCACAGACGAAGCGUAAGUGACGGUAUGUGCAGAAGAAGCACCGGCCAACUACGUG
rnacentral:rRNA from 1 species